rnacentral:rRNA from 1 species
AGUGAACGCUGGCGGUAGGCCUAACACAUGCAAGUCGAACGGCAGCACAGUAAGAGCUUGCUCUUACGGGUGGCGAGUGGCGGACGGGUGAGGAAUACAUCGGAAUCUACUUUUUCGUGGGGGGUAACGUAGGGAAACUUACGCUAAUAACGCAUACGACCUACGGGUGAAAGCAGGGGAUCUUCGGACCUUGCGCGAUUGAAUGAGCCGAUGUCGGAUUAGCUAGUUGGCGGGGUAAAGGCCCACCAAGGCGUCGAUCCUUAGCUGGUCUGAGGGGGUGUAGAGGCACACUGGAACUGAGAGACGGUCCUGACUCCUAGGGGAGGCAGCGGUGGGGAAUAGUGGACAAUGGGCGCAAGCCUGAUCCAGCCAUGCCGCGUGGAUGCAGAAGGCCUUCGGGUUGUAUAGCCCUUUUGUUGUUAAAGAAAAGCAGCAGGUUAAUACCCCGCUGUUCUGACGGUACCCGAAGAAUAAGCACCGGCUAACUUCGUG